GAGGGCUUGUUCGGGAGCAGCCCUGCACAGAGGCAGGGGCGUGGCGUGGAGCCCGGUCAAGGGGCUGGCAGGUGCCCUGCCUCUCACCUCGGCGGGCGCCUGGUUCUCCCUCAGCCUCAGCAGCCACGGGGUCAAGCGUCUUCUCUACAAAACUCGUUCUCAAGUUAGGCGCCGCCUUCUGCCCGGAUCAGAACCCCCACACCCUGGCCCCCGGCUUAGCCUUGCUGGUCUGUCCUACUCAAGGGCUCCACAGCUGCGGAGGGGCACCUGGGCAGGGGCUUCCUGCCCAAGGAGUGAUCUCAUCACAAGCCUGGGCGCAGGCCCCAGGGGAGAGGGGCUGGGCUGCCUAGCUGCCGCUCGCAGUCUCCUCCCAAGGACCCUCAUCCUUCUGGUUCUUCCAGCUUUCUUGUCUUUUUCCGAAGCAAUAAACCUUCUGACAGCCUCUCAGGCUCUUCCCUUCCUCGGGCAGCCUCACGGGCACUCCUGGCUGGUGUGCACAGGAGGCUGGGCGAGGAGGGAGAAACUGAAUGGAGCGUUAACAGGCCAAGUGCAGCAAAAGGCGGGCGGCUGAAGAUUCAUUCCAGGGUUUGUCACUUGCCUGGGCUAGCCAAAGAUGACUAAGACAUCUUAUUACAAACCCCCAUGAGGAAAUUCAAGUUUUGGAAAAACUGCUCCACUCUGGGUGUGUCUACACCUGAGAUGUCCUGCAAUCCUCUCAACAGAUGGAGGCUGGCCUCCUGGCUCGGGCAGAGUCACACCCAGCUUUUUCAUCAUGUGGAAAGCAUACAACCCUUCUUGCCACCACUCCAUAC